rnacentral:rRNA from 1 species
GACAGGGGGCUCGAGCGUUAAUCGGAAUCACUGGGCUUAAAGGGUGCGUAGGCGGCCUCGUAAGUGCCUUGUGAAAGCCCCCGGCUCAACCGGGGAACCGCAGGGCAUACUGCGAGGCUUGAGGAAGCUAGAGGCCGGUAGAACGAUAGGUGGAGCGGUGGAAUGCGUAGAUAUCUAUCGGAAUGCCAAAAGUGAAGACAGCCGGCUGGGGCUUUCCUGACGCUGAAGCACGAAAGCGUGGGGAGCAAACGGG